GACGAACGCUGGCGGCGUGCCUAAUACAUGCAAGUCGAACGCAGUGGGGACGGGUGAGUAACACGUGGGUAACCUCCCAUCAGAGGGGAUAACACUUGGAAACAGGUGCUAAACCGAUACUGCUGGAUGAACCCGCGGUGCAUUAGCUCGUUGGUGGAGUAACGGCGCACCAAGGCCAGGAUGCAUAGCCGACCUUGGAGGGUAAUCGGCGACACGGGGACUGAGAAACGGCACGGAGUCAGACGGGAGGCAGCAGUAGGGAAUCUUCUGCAAUGGACGAAAGUCUGACCGGGCAACGCCGCGUAUGUGAAGAAGGUUUUCGGAUAGUAAGACUCUGUUGUAAGAGAAGCGGUAUCUGGCCAGAAAGCCACGGCGAACUACGUGCCAGCAGCCGCGGUAAUAC
rnacentral:rRNA from 1 species